rnacentral:rRNA from 1 species
GACGAACGCUGGCGGCGUGCCUAACACAUGCAAGUCGAACGGAAAGGCCGUAGUUUUGUGCUGUGCUCGAGUGGCGAACGGGUGGGUAACACGUAAGUAACCUGCCCUGGACUUUGGGAUAACUUCAGGAAACGGGGGCUAAUACCGGAUAGGAGCUGCUGUUGCAUGGUGAGGGUUGGAAAGUUUCGGCGGCUGGGGUUGGAGUUGCGGCUGAGGAGUUUGUUGGUGGGGUAGCGGCAUAGCAAGGCUUUGACGGGUAGCCGGCCUGGGAGGGGGACCGGCCCCAGUGGGACUGGGGUAGGGGCCAGAGUGCUACGUGAGGCAGCGGUGGGAAACAGUGCACAAUGGGCGGAAGCCGGAUGCAGCGACGUCGGGUGCGGGAGGACGGCUUUCGGGGUGUAAAGCGCUUUAGCCUGUGAAGAAGCGUGAGUGACGGUAACGGAUAAAGAAGCACCGGCUAACUACGUG